rnacentral:rRNA from 1 species
UACGGGGGGGGCAAGCGUUGUUCGGAAUUACUGGGCGUAAAGGGCGUGUAGGUGGUAGCGUAAGUCUGGCGUGAAAUUUUUCGGCUUAACCGGGAAAGGUCGUCGGAUACUGCGUAACUAGAGGACGGUAGAGGCGUGUGGAAUUCCGGGUGUAGUGGUGAAAUGCGUAGAGAUCCGGAGGAACACCAGUGGCGAAGGCGACACGCUGGGCCGUACCUGACACUGAUGCGCGACAGCAUGGGGAGCAAACAGG